AAAAUCUCAUUUUUAAAAGAAAAUGCGGUAUUUUUUACACUUUCGGAAUCUGAGCUUAACAGAAUUCUCAUGAGCAGUUGAAGAUACCCCACCAAUAUUUCCUUUCGGAGAGGAGUCCUGGAUGCUAAAACUGAACUAAUAAUUCCUCAGCCAGAGUUCCUGCAGGUAGGAAAAACAAACAUUACCCCAUUUUUGUGGGGAUCUUCUCUGUCUGUGGGUUCUGCUAAUAGAGAAGACUGCCCUGAGCUUCCGUCUUGAGAGAUAUUUCAGUAAAAUCACAUUUGGAUGAGGUUUUGGGAUUUGCAGUUUUCAUAAUCUCCUUGGUGAUUCAGAAAUGCAGUUGGGUUUAGAAAUGAUUUCUCUUGGCCCAGUUGCAGCUUCCGUUAGUGUUGUACAAUACAGUGACUGUAGAACAGAAACAGCACCAUCCUGAACUACGUAUGAGUGAUCCUGACAAUCCCAGAACAUAGCCUUUGGUUUAGAUUUACACGGUAGCGGUCUCCCGCGUUGGCCUGAUGAGGGACUCUGGGUGUCUCUGGCCUGACAGUCGGCCAUGUUCCUAUGCCAUUAGGAUCAGGCAGCUCUUAAAGUUGGCAAGGCGGCUUCAGUUUCAGAUAAUAAUUUUCGGCAGGUAGAAAACCGCUAUACCAAGUUGAGUAAAUUAAUUUUGCUUGCCCAACGACAAAAAUCUGAAAACAGGAAAUAAGUGAACCCAACGACAAAAAUCUGAAAACAGGAAAUAAGUGUUACAAGUUUAUUUUUGCUAUCUAUGCUAGCCAAAUGAAUGCUGACAUCACUUUCUCUAUUUAAGGAACCGUUGUUUAUUCUCAAUGAGCAACUUGAUAUACUAUAUAAAAUGCAUUUUAAUUAUGUUUCUUUCUUUAGCCUUUGCCCUCUCAGGCUUUUUACAAAAAGCAGGAGCAUCUAAAAACAUUUUUGAUGUUAUUUUUAAGAUGCAAUCCAAGAACUUGUCGAUUUGCCAGCAUGCAGUAGUAUUAUGAAAUUAUGCUUAGCCUGACCAUGGAUAUUUUGGGAGGAAAGAUCUACAGUCUAGCCGUCAUUUUGUUUCAGGCUUAAAGUAGUGGAAGGGGAUAAAAUAAUGCGUAAUGUUCUCUUAUCCGCCUCAGUUUCUCCCACACUGAUGUCUUACACUUGUAACAACGACUAUAAAACUCCCUCUAGCUUGUGAGUCCUUUAGUGUCAAAAUUCGGUAAACUUUUCUUUUCUUUUUUUGUUUUGUUUUCUGUUGUUGUUGUUAUUUUUUUGGCUUUUUAGGGCCACACCUGCAGCACAUGGAAGUUCCCAGGCUAGGGAUCUAAUCAGAGCUACAGCUGCCGGCCUAUACCACAGCCACAGCAACGCAGGAUCUGAGCCACAUCUGUGACCCACACCACAGCUCAUGGCAACACCAGAUCCUUAACCCACUGAGCAAGGCCAGGGAGCGAACCUGCAAUCUCAUGGUUCCUAGUCAGAUUUGUUUCCACUGCACCACGAUAGAAACUCCAAAUCAUAUAACCUUUUCAAACAGCAGGUGUCCAACCUUUUGUGUUUGCAUCAUGCUUGUGAUAACUGGACUCUUUUUUUUUGGACAUAGUUAAGAGGUUUACCUAUUCAAAAUGGGAUAUGUGCAAGGUAUUACCAGUUAUUUAUUGUUCUCAUGGAUAUCAGUCUUAGCAUCAAAAGUAGUGGGACAGCCAAACAUUAUGUGCCUCCUGAUGUGUUGCAAUACGAAAUUUAUAACACCGCCUACAAAGUGGUCUUGCCAAAAAUGCUUAACUGAAGCUAAUCGAGCUUUGAGCUUUAACUUCCAGCUUACAGAAAAUUCAAAGGAAAGGCAAGAGUAAAAUGAUACUGUAUCCUCACGUCCCACAGUCCAUCACAUAAUAGUGCAAAUCCCCCUGCCUUAUCACUCCUCAUUGCACUUGCCUGACAAAACCUCAGUCUGGUUAAACCCAGUAUUCUAUUCCCUGGGCCAACUGCAUGCCUACCUCUGAGCAGCUGCUUGUGGCUCAUAGAAGGCGCAUCACUGUGCUGACUCCUAGCAUUUUGAAUCUCUGACCACAAACCUCAAGUGAGCCCCUGGGACUCCUCAGCAAUUCCACUCUCUUCAAACCUCCAAAACCACUUUCCUCUUCCUCACUCUCAACUGAUCAGCUCACUUCUCAUUUUACUGAGAAAAUAAAAGCAGUCAUUAGAGAACUUCCUCAUCUGCUCACCAUAAAAUCUAUGCUUCUACCUUCAGCUUUACCUUAACUUUUUCAGCCUUCCUUUUUCAGGAGUAGAUAAACCUACCGUGCUCCAGUCUAGGGCUUAACCCCUUCCUUUCAUCCCCAGUCAUUACUCAGGGACUUUGUUCCUGCAGCUUUCCCUCUUUUUUUAAUCUGUCAAAUUUCCCCAUAAAUUGGAUCAGCAUCAACAAGGCUGUGAUAUUUUUAUCCCUUAAUCUUGGUGCUGUGCUUUACAUUAUAGCAAAAUUCCAGGAAAGCUGUGUCUAAAUUCAGCUUCUUACUCCCUCAUUUUUCCUACCUCCUCCCACCCUCAAAAUUAGAAUAGUAUAGUGAGUAUCUUUGUCCCUACUGCCUAGUUUCAGACACACUUAGAGCUCUUUUCUGUCUCUCCUGGGUCACAGCCCCUUCCAUCAUGCCUUACCCCAGCGGUAGCUCAGUUCCCCUGCAGCAGGAGGCAUGGUUGAUGGUUGCUCCCAUUAAUGACUGUGCAUGGUGGAGAUACAGGUUCAGGCCCAUUUUUGUUUGAUGUAAGACUUCUCCAAAAGGUGACUGGCUUAGGGACUCCUCAUCAGCCUGGCCAGGACAUUCUUCCAUCCCUGCUGCAGACUGAGUCUCUCUCACCCAACCCUUCUUUUUUUCUCUAUCUCCUUUCACAGGGUGCCAUUCCUGCAUUGGGGCGUGAAGGGUUUUCUCAUAACUCCCACUUCUUCCACUUUAUUCUUCACAGCCAUUUCUCCUAAAAGUUUCCUGCCACCUAAUCCUAUCCUGAUAACACAGACACUAUCCUGAUUUGGGUGUUUAUUAUUUCAUGUUUGUCUGUCUUUCUGACUUUUUUUUUAAGGCUGCCCCUGCUGCAAUUGGAAGUUCCUAGUCUAGGUGUCAUAGUGGAGCUGCAGCUGCCACCCUACUUCACAGUCACAGCAACACUAGGUCCGAGCUGCUUCUGUGACCUACACCACAGCUCACGGCAGAACAAAUCCUUAACCUGCUGAGCAAGUCCAGGGAUCGAACCUACAUCCUCAGGAAUACUAGUUCGGUUCUUAACCCACUGAGCCUCAAUGGGAACUCUUGUCUUUCUGUCUUUUAUAUGUUCAUAUGUUAUUGUUUUAUGCUAUCAAGAUUUGUAGACAGUCUCUGUAUCUUGCUUUUUUUGCACAAUGAUAUUUAAGAUUUAUCUAUGUUGAAUUAUAUAGCUGAUAAUUCAUUUUAUGCUGUAUUAGUAAUUAUAUAAAUAUAUUCUAAUUCAUUUAUUCCUUCUCUGUUAAUGCACAUAUAUGCUGUUACAAACUUUUGCUGUUAUAAUGUUGCAAAGAACACUCUUUUAUCUAUCUCCAUUGUAUCCUCCUGUAAGAAUUUCUCUGUGACAUAUAGGAGUUAAAUGCUGAGUUGUAGCGUAUGUGCAUCUUUGACUUCACAAGGUAUUGUCAAAUUGUUCUCCAAAAUGAUUGUUUCAAUUUUCACUCCUACUAGCAGCAAAUGAGAUGUUCUUGCUUGCCUAUAUUCUUGUCAUCUCUUGCUAUGUCAGAUUUUUUGGUUUUGGCUAAUAUGAUGGGUCUCUCUCACCCAAGAUAAAAGUAUCUUAGCAUGGUUUUAAUGUGCAUUUCCCUGAUUACUAGUGAGAUAGAGAAAUUUAUUUUAUGUUUAUCAGCCCUCUUCUUUGCAAUACAUGUUUUUCAUAUUGACAUUGGAAUUCUUUAUAUAUUCUGGAUAUCAAUGUUUUGUCAGUUAUCUUCAUUGCAAAUAUAUGAUUCCAGGCUGUGACAUGUCUUUUCACUUUAUUUAUGGCAUCUUUUGAAUCACAGAAGUAUAAAAUUUUAAUGUAGUCAAAUAUUUCAAUCUUUUCCUUUAUGGCUCUCUCUCUCUCUCUUUCUGUGUCUUCUUUUUAAUGUGCCUCAUUUCAAAAAUUCUAGUCUAUACUGAGAUCAUAAAUAUAUUCUCACAAUUUAUCCCAGAAGAUUUAAAAUCUGCCUUUCACAUUUAGAAUUUCAGUGUAUUCGGAAUUGAUUUUUGUUACCUAAUAAUCCAAUUCAUUUUUUUUUCAGUUUGAAUAACAAUUAACCCAGCAUCUAUUUUGAGUAGUCUAGCCUUUCCUUGCUGAUCAGUAAUGCCAUAUAUCAAGUAUCCAUAUAUUUGGGUCUUUUUAUGAGCUCUUUAUUUUGUUUUAUUGAUCUAUUUGUCCAUUCUAGCACCGUUAUCACACCUUUAAAAAAUUAUUACAGUUUUAUGAUUCUUGCCAUCUGUUUUUCUUCAAAUCUGUCUUGGCUCUUCUUGAUUUUUGCAUAUCUGUAUAAGUUUAAUAUCAGCUUGUUAUGUUCUGUGAGAAACCCUAUUGAGAAUUUGAUUGGAAGAGCAUUGAAGUAGCCAAUUAAUAUGGAAAAAAAUGGACAUCUUUACAAAACUGACUCUUUCUACACACAAAUAUGGUUUAUCUCUUGAUUGAUUUGUUCAGAUCUUUAAUUUCUUUCAAUAAAGAUUUACAAUUUUAUUCUAAGUCUCUUUGAGAUUGCAAAUGGCUUUAAGGUUUUUGCACUUUGUUAUUGUGUGUAGUAAUCCUGUUGAUUAUUGAACAUUGGUCUUCUAUCUAGCAAUAUCAGUGAUCUCUCUUAUUGAUUAUAAUACUUGGAUGACAUAUUCUUUUGGUCUUCCUGUGUGGAAGUUAUAUCACAUGUGAGGAAAGAUAGUUUUAUUUCUCUCUUUCUAAUCCCAGUGCUCAAACUAACACCUCUAGUAUAUAUCUCAUUUUUUUUUUUUGGUCUUUUUAGGGUCGCCCCUGUGGCAUAUGGAGGUUCCCAGGCUAGGGGUCGAAUCGGAGCUACAGCUGCCAGCCUACAACCACAGCCACAGCAAUGCCAGAUCCAAGCCAUGUCUGCAACCUACACCACAGCUCACGGCAACACUGGAUCCUUAACCCACCGAGCAAGGCCAGGGAUCGACCCUGCGUCCCCAUGGAUGCUAGUCAGAUUCGUUUCUGCUGAGCCACGACAGGAACUCCCUCAAUCUCAAUUUAAUCGGGCUUUCAUUCUCAUCAAUGCACUGAAACCUUUUUUAUUGGAGUCAUCAAUAGCCUUCAUGUUAGUAAAUCCAGUGGUUAAAUCUCAGUCCUCAGUUUACUCAACCUCUCAGCAUCGAUAACUAUGACUAUACCUCCUUUCUUCACUUCUUCUGGGACAACAUCUCCCAGUUUCCUCCUAAGCCCUUGCUGCCUAUUCUCAGUCUCUCUUGCUGUUUCCUCGUCAUGUCCUAAUCAGUCAGUUUGGAAUGAUCCGGUGCUAGAUCCUUCAACCUUCCCUUUUCUCAUUACACUCACUCUCCAGGGGAUCUCACUCAGCCCAGGAGCCCUUAACUCAACUUUCCGUCUCUAGCACCACUCUCUCUUGAAUGCUACCCUUUUUUAGGCAGUAGUCAGCUCAACACUUUUACUUGGAAGGCUAAUUGUCAUCUCACACUAAGCAAACCCAAAACACGCACUUUGACCUCUAUCCCCACAAUAAGAUCUUCCCCAAAGAUUCUUUAUUUUGGCGACUAUCAGCACCAUUUGUCUGCUGCCAGAGCCCAAAACAUAAUCUUCAACUUAGAUUUCUUUUUCUCCUACAUCCAAUAUUCAAUGUAUUUGCAAAUCCUAUUGACUCAGCCUUAAAAAUACAUUAUAAAUCUGACCACUUCUCAUCACUUCUUUGCCCCUACCUUGGUCUGAGGGGCUAUCAUUUUUUCCCCCCGAUCUAAUGCAGUAACCCAUCCAGCUGAUCUCCUUGUUUCCACCUUGUCCCACUACAGUCAUAUUCCAUACAGCAGCUGAAAUGAUUUUCUACAAACAGAGAUAAACCUGGUGAUUUCCAUGCUCAAAACUUUCUGAUGACUCGUUGUCACACUUGGAGUAUAAUCAAGUAUCUUCCUGUGGCACAAAGUCUCAUGUGAACUGACCUUUGGGGACUUUCUGACCUCAUUUUCUAUCUUCCCUUCAUUUAUUCCAUUUAAGCCAACUGUCUUCAAGCAUAGCAAAGCUUCAGAGCCUGUGUUCGCACAACCCCUGCCAUCUUGCGGGACUGCCUGCAGAGAUGGGUGGUGAAGGCACUGGAGAGAUAAUACCUUUUCUGAGACUACAGAUGUAACCUGGGGAAAAGCGUCUCUGCUUUUGGCUUUCCCCUUGGGAUCUCACUGGCUCAUGGGCUCAGACAGAGGGUGGGGAGAGGUGAGCACAAAGUUGAGGGAGAAUCCCCGACCAUCGCACGACUGCUUUCCUCCCUCUCUGUCCCUUUUUUCUCCUUUCUACCCAUCCCUGGGGCUCCCUUUCUGGCAGUACUUUCCCCACGUCUUAGUCUAGUCUUCCUUGAGGUGAACUUCCCCUGCCGUCUGCCUUCACGCUACAGCAGCAGAUAGAUGUCAGGAAAAGGAGCCAGAUUUCUGAUCACAGGAGAUCCAAAAAUCUGACCCAUGUUACCUAGGAAAACAAGAAUGUUAAAAUGUCUCAUUGUAGUUUAUUAAAAUGGCAUGCGAGGUAUCUUGAGGAUUCAUCCCCUACCCUGUAUAAAGUGGGGCUACUAACACUGCAUGAAAAGGGGGUAUGAGAAAUCAAAUGAAAAAGAAUGGACAGAGCCUGGGAGAAGGCCUGGCUCAUAGAACUUGGCUCAGAACUGGCUCAUUGCCUCUCUCUCUUCCUAGGAGAGUAAUGGAAUGUUAUUAUGUUUUUUUCCUAGAGCAUGAAUUGUUUUAAUUAUGGAUGUUUUAAAAAUGUUUGUUAUUAAUCCCUUUCUAUAAAUGAUUAAAAAGGCUGCCUGUCUUCUCUGUGCACAUAGUUAAAAGCUUUUCAUCCUUAAUGUAAGCUCUCCAGAAGGAAAUGUUUGAAAGAGGAACCAUGUGCAGGAGAUGCCAAGAAGCUGUUACUGGUCAAGCAAACUGAUACCCAAUAUGAUUAAGACCCGCAAGUACUUACGACCAUUAUUUCACUGGUCACCAUGAUUCGUUAUUAGUUAGGAAAAAAAAAA
rnacentral:lncRNA from 1 species